rnacentral:lncRNA from 1 species
UCCUAAUUUGAGAUCCCACUUUCUUCAAUUUCAGGCUUUCAGCCACUGAAGCUCUCCAUUUUCCCCUUCUAAACUUCGGUUCAACAAACUGUAAAACUUAGUAGUCGCCGGUGGCACAAAAGUAUUCCUUAUUAAUUGAAGAACAAAUAGUCAAUUUUCAUAGCAAGUAUCCAAUUAAUCACGGGUAAGAUAGCCCUUGUUGCUUCAGUCCUUCUAACUCGUUUGCAAAGAUAGAACCUAAAUACAGAAGAGAGAUAGAGAACAAAUAUUAAGCAAGAAAGAAAAUAUUAAAGCAUCAUUAGAAU